UAGGGAAUCUUCCGCAAUGGACGCAAGUCUGACGGAGCAACGCCGCGUGAGUGAAGAAGGAUUUCGGUUCGUAAAACUCUGUUGUUAGAGAAGAACAGCGCAUAGAGUAACUGUUAUGCGUGUGACGGUAUCUAACCAGAAAGCCACGGCUAACUACGUGCCAGCAGCCGCGGUAAUACGUAGGUGGCAAGCGUUGUCCGGAUUUAUUGGGCGUAAAGCGAGCGCAGGCGGUCGAUUAAGUCUGAUGUGAAAGCCCCCGGCUCAACCGGGGAGGGUCAGUGGAAACUGGUUGACUUGAGUGCAGAAGAGGAGAGUGGAAUUCCAUGUGUAGCGGUGAAAUGCGUAGAUAUAUGGAGGAACACCAGUGGCGAAGGCGACUCUCUGGUCUGUAACUGACGCUGAGGCUCGAAAGCGUGGGUAGCAAACAGG
rnacentral:rRNA from 1 species